AAUAAAAUCAGAAAAAAAUAAAAAAUGCAAAAAAAACAAGGAGCGUUAGAUCUGAGCUCAUUAAUUGAGUUGGAAGAUCAUACGCUCCAGAGAUGCGCUCCCACCAUACGCCUUGGUCAACUGAACCACAGGCAGCAUUAAAACAAGUCAUAACAUGGAACGGUCCAGAUUAGAUCUGGAAACAAGAUCGUGUGGCCAGGAAUUAAUCUGGAGUUGAG
rnacentral:lncRNA from 1 species